GGCUGCUCCUGCAGACCAAUCAGGUUGCUGCUUUCUAGGAUCCUACCUGUCUAUUGUUCUAGGAUCCAAGCUCAGUACAUAACAGCUUCCCUUUUAUUCACUGGAUUUAAGGCAGUGGUAUUUUAUUACAGGUAUUUGGAAGAAAACAUUUGCUUGGUGCAAGAAAAAGCCACAGCCUGACAUCCCAUAAUGCUCCCACGAAAGGUUUAAUCUCUCAGCCUGGCAAGGUUUUAGACUGAGCACUAGAUGGCACUAGCAUAUUGGAUUCCUACCCAGCAGCAAAAUCCAUCCUUUCUCCAACACACUGUGUGAUAGAAAACACAAAUCAACAGCAAAAUUGGGGCAGGCGUUUUGAAAAAGAAAAGUGCAUUCAUUUUCAGCUGCAGCUGAUUUAAACUGACUAUAAUAUAAUCCCUCUUGCUUCAUUCUACCAUUUGAUGGCAAGGAAAACAUUCUUUGUAUCUUGGCUAAGGAGAGCUGCAUCUUUUCCGCCUGAGAACCAUCGUUCCCCUACACUGUCUGAAUUCAACAAGUUUCCACUGCCAGUUUCCUCUCAAUGGCGGAGCUGCUUUUCUGAGUGUUUUGCUGUUUGUGAAUAUUGCCUGAGCAGCUAGUCAUUUUGCAAUGCCAUUCAGAAUUGUGUGUUCCCUUAAAGUUUAGACAUCAGAGUGACAGACCUCUGUACAGCAGUACAGCAGGUCUCUGUUGUGAAAAACCUCCAGAUACAAGAAACAACCUCCAGAUACGAGAAACAGCCUCCUCGCUGCAGAUCUCAGAGAGUCUCAACAGCAGGCUAGAGAGCUGGAAGGAUCAGAGCAGCUGGCUAGCCCAACAGAGUGAUGGCAGUGCAAAAGGAAAAACCCAACCCUCUGGGUUUGUAGAGGGGAAACAUGCCACAAGAGGCACCAGCUAACAGAAGCAUCAAGGGACCCAUCUGGCCUGCAGGCAUGAGGCAGACUAAACCAGCAUGGCCGCCACUUGAGAAAGGCUGCUUUCGGCCACCCAGAAGGCUCCUAUAAAAUUCAUCAGAGUGUUAUUUAUAUGGCA